GUGCUCGCUUGGGCAGAACAAAUACUAAAAUUAGAACGAUGCAGAGAUUAGCAUGGUCCCUGUCCAAGCAUGACACCCAAGCGUUCCACAUUAAA
rnacentral:snRNA from 1 species